rnacentral:rRNA from 1 species
UUAUUGCCAACUAGCGGUAGGGGAGCGUAGUAAAAGCAUUGAAGUUAAAUCCGUGAGGAUUAAUGGAGUUUUUACUAGUGAGAAUGCCGGCGUGAGUAACGAUAGAAGGUGAGAAUCCUUCUGGCCGUAUGACCAAGGUUUCCAGGGUGAAGGUCGUCUACCCUGGGUUAGUCGGGGCCUAAGGCGAGGCCGAAAGGCGUAGUCGAUGGAUAACAGGUUAAUAUUCCUGUACUCACCAUAAUUACUGAUGGAGUGACGAAGUCAGCUAAGAUGAGCCAGUUAUUGAAUUCUGGUCUAAAUACAAAGAGGGUCUGGUAGGCAAAUCCACCAGGCACAACCUUGAAGUAUGGAUAGGGCAACCUAUUUGUCUGAACGCUUUGCUUCCAAGAAAAACUUCUAAGAUAUAAUUAGGUACUCGUACCAAGAACGAACACACGUGGUCGGGGUGAAUAUCCUCAGGCCAGCGAGAAAACUACAGUUAAGGAACUCGGCAAUAGCACGGGCGACUGUUUAUCAAAAACACAGCUCUCUGCUAACUCGUAAGAGGAUGUAUAGGGGGUGCCGCCUGCCCAGUGCUCCAAGGUUAAGAGGGGGGGUUAGCCAGUAGUAAGAUACUGGUGAAGCUCUGAAUUGAAGCCCGAGUGAACGGCGGCCGUAACUAUAACGGUCCAAAGGUAGCGAAAUUCCUUGUCAGGUAAGUUCUGACCCGCAUGAAAGGCGUAACGACUCGUGCACUGUCUCAACUGUAGACUCGGUGAAAUCUUAGUACCGGUGAAGAUGCCGGUUACCCGCAACUAGACGGAAAGACCCCGUGGAGCUUUACUGCAACCUGAUAUUGGGUUUUUCUCUGUUCUGUACAGGAUAGGUGGGAGACUGUGAGUCCAAGACGCCAGUUUUGGAGGAGUCAUUGGUGGAAUACCACUCUGAAUAGCGGAAAAUCCUAACUUGUUGGUUUACAACCAAAAGGACAGUGUUUGGUGGGUAGUUUGACUGGGGCGGUCGCCUCCUAAAAAGUAACGGAGGUGUUCAUAAGGUAUCCUCAGUAGGUAUAGAAAUCCUACAUAGAGCGUAAAGGUACAAGGAUGCUUAACUGUGAGACUUACAAGUCGAACAGAUACGAAAGUAGGACUUAGUGAUCCGGCGGUACCUAGUGGUAGGGCCGUCGCUAAACGGACAAAAGUUACCCCGGGGAUAACAGGCUAAUACUUCCCAAGAGACCACAUCGACGGAAGUGUUUGGCACCUCGAUGUCGACUCAUCGCAUCCUGGAGGUGAAGAAGCUUCCAAGGGUUGGGCUGUUCGCCCAUUAAAGCGGUACGUGAGUUGGGUUUAGAACGUCGUGAGACAGUUUGGUCCCUAUCUGUUGUGGGCGUAGGAAAUUUGCGGAGAUCUGCUCUUAGUACGCAAGGACCAGAGUGGACUGACCAAUGAUGCACCAGUUGUCAUGUCAAUGGCACGGCUGGAUAGUUAUGUCAGGUCUAGAUAAGCACUGAAAGCAUAUAAGUGCGAAACUAACUCCAAGAUAAGAUUUCCCAUCCGUAAGGAGUAAGAUACCUUCUAGACCAGGAGGUUGAUAGGUGGAAAAUGUAAGUGUAGUAAUACAUUUAGUUAAUCCAUACUAAUUUAUCGAGGACUUAUUUU